AGAGUUUGAUCAUGGCUCAGGACGAACGCUGGCGGCGUGCCUAAUACAUGCAAGUCGAGCGGUUUACACCUUCGGGUGUAGGUAGCGGCGGACGGGUGAGUAACACGUAGGUAACCUGCCUGACAGACUGGGAUAACUACCGGAAACGGUAGCUAAGACCGGAUACGCCAAUUUAAGGGCAUCCUUGAAUUGGGAAAAGCGGAGCAAUCUGCUACUGAUAGAUGGACCUGCGGCGCAUUAGCUAGUUGGUGAGGUAGAGGCUCACCAAGGCGACGAUGCGUAGCCGACCUGAGAGGGUGAACGGCCACACUGGGACUGAGACACGGCCCAGACUCCUACGGGAGGCAGCAGUAGGGAAUCUUCGGCAAUGGACGAAAGUCUGACCGAGCAACGCCGCGUGAGUGAUGAAGGUUUUCGGAUCGUAAAACUCUGUUGCCAGGGAAGAAUGGUUAGGAGAGUAACUGCUCUUAAUUUGACGGUACCUGAGAAGAAAGCCCCGGCUAACUACGUGCCAGCAGCCGCGGUAAUACGUAGGGGGCAAGCGUUGUCCGGAAUUAUUGGGCGUAAAGCGCGCGCAGGCGGUCCAUUAAGUCUGGUGUAUAAACCAAGGGCUCAACCUUUGGACGCAUUGGAAACUGAUGGACUGGAGUGUAGGAGAGGAAAGUGGAAUUCCACGUGUAGCGGUGAAAUGCGUAGAGAUGUGGAGGAACACCAGUGGCGAAGGCGACUUUCUGGCCUAUAACUGACGCUGAGGCGCGAAAGCGUGGGGAGCAAACAGGAUUAGAUACCCUAGUAGUCC
rnacentral:rRNA from 1 species